GGCAGCGUAGCUCAAUUGGUAGAGCACAGCGCUGUUUGAUAGCGUUUGAUUUCCCAAAGAGGUUGAUUUUCAAGACAGCGUUGAGAUGUGGGUUCGAAUCCCACUGCAGCCA